rnacentral:rRNA from 1 species
UACGUAGGCAGCAAGCGUUGUUCGGAGUUACUGGGCGUAAAGAGCUCGUAGGUGGUUUGUCGCGUUGUUCGUGAAAACUCACAGCUUAACUGUGGGCGUGCGGGCGAUACGGGCAGACUGGAGUACUGCAGGGGAGACUGGAAUUCCUGGUGUAGCGGUGGAAUGCGCAGAUAUCAGGAGGAACACCGGUGGCGAAGGCGGGUCUCUGGGCAGUAACUGACGCUGAGGAGCGAAAGCGUGGGGAGCGAACAGG